UUGGCUCACCCCUCUUCUACUCUACACCUUCUUCUCCCACAAGGAUUUUCGCGCGUCCUCCGGCCCAUUAAAUUUCGCGGCGAGCUUGCCUCGAUCUCCGACGGCGGGGGCCGCGGGCUGAUGCUAGGUGCUGAGCUCUGGAACAGGACGGCAGGGUGAGGGAAGGCCACGGGGAAGGCACUUCCAGGCCCCCCCACCAUCAUAAACCCUCGAGAACCCCAUCUGGAUUCGGGGAAACUUCUCCAGGACGCUUGCGAUCGGCUGCAGCGGGUUCCCCAACUUCUCUUGGGGUCACAACAAAUAUUAAAGCUUGACGAUUUUAUUGUUCCAUUUUCCAGAUGGGAAGACUGAGAGGCCAAAGGGAGGCGAACGCUUCUCGGUCGUGGUGGCGAGAUUGCGAUUUUUUCAAACGAAAGGCCUAAGGCUGCACGGGUGCCGCCCCAGGACUGAGACUUCACCCACAGGGACGCCUGCGUCCCGGAGUAAUCAGUGCAUGGCAGGUGGAGUGAGAAAAGCAUCCUUGAAAGGCUGUCCUGAGGACGGUGGGCUGGAUCCUGAAAGUCGUGCAGAGCCUCACAAGCGAUAGAGGAAUCAGAUGCACAUUUUAGAAGCUCAUCGGGCUGUACACAUGGUUGGG
rnacentral:lncRNA from 1 species